GAGGGGGAGAGGGAGAGGGAGGGAGGGAGGGAGGGAGAGAGAGAGAGAGAGAGAGGGAGGGAGAGGGAGAGAGAGACGUGGUUAAGUGUACGUUUUAAAGGCUUGGAAAAAGGGUGGAGGGGAGAUUCAAGGGUUGACUUGAGGAUGAUUGAAAUUCUUUCUCACUGCGUGUGUAGCUAAUCUGCACUCUGUAAACCCUACAUAAUAGGACUCUGUGGUCCUAUAUAUUGGGCAGGAAAUGCUUCUGUUGUGUGUUUAUGUGUGACUGUGUACACCUAUCUAAGCUCACACACACACACACAUGUGUGUCUGUUUGCUGGAACCUGAGCCAUCAGGUGGGUGGAGGGGGUCAUGGGGGAGAGUGGCCAUCUCCUUGUUUACAUCAGUCUGCAUCAAGAGACACACACAAUGGACAGGAGGUGUGUGUGAUUCUCGCCGUAGGGUGGUGGAUGACUAUGUGUCAAUGUACAAAUAUAAACACAUUUCCUGUGAGACAGUAAGAACGGGCGUAAUGCCGUGAAGAGUCCGGAAUGAGAUUUCUGGGUAGAUUAGGGUUGUGGUAAGUAUGUGGUUGAGUGGGUGGAGGGGAAGGAGGCAUAUGGGGGGGGGGGGGGUACAGAAAUGAUGGAGGUCUGGUGUGAGAAGAAGAAAGAAAGGGAGAAAUGGGGCCCAGUAUUGUGACAUACAUAGUUCUACAUAGAGGGAGGGAGAAAGGGGGGUAGAGAGAGAGAGAGGGGGGGUAGGGAGGGAGGGUGGGAGAGAAGCCAUUUAAUCAAGCCUGUUUUUUUUUUUUCAAUUUCCUGACAUCAUUUUGAUGACUCACCAGUUGAACUGAAAGAGAAGCAUCACUCCAAAGCGUCGUCAAGGACAAUAAGUAGGCUGUUGGCUAUUGACAUCAUGGCCAACGUAGAUGCUGUUAGGUCUGACCCUUACCCUGUCAGUCACAUCACUAUAACCUAAGUGUGUGUGUGUGUGUGUGUGUGUGUGUGUGUGUGUGUGUCCUGUUGCCGUUGGACCAGGCCUUAAAGCUGUCCCAUGCCAGCACAUAGCAGUGAGCUAACCUAACAUGAUCAUGGCUGUGUGUGAAUCGGGGGGGGGGGGGGGGGGGGGGUACUGGGCCCGCCGCCGCCGCCGCCCAAAUAACCUUACGUCGCAGUUGAUUGGUCGGUCAGUCACCGGGUCGAUUUGCGGCUAUGUCACCAGUAGACGAGGGGCUAAGUCCCACCGCAGAUGCCAGCGUGUCUGCCGGUCCAACCAUGACACAGUCGUACCACUGUUACCACCUCCUCACGAAUUAGCUUCGGGCUCUGACCCGUGGCGCUGCAGGCCGGCCCGUGUGAGCAGGCGACUGGGGGCCGGCCCCCGCUGCAUGACGUAGCUGCUGUUCUGCGAGGAGGUUCUGCACACUCCUUUGCACGGUGACAGGCGGAUAGCAACACACUCAGCCCAGUAGCAGCCCGCAGCUCUGAGCCCGCGGCACCAUGACGGAGCCGGGGAGCGGGACAUUCCUCCGCCAUGGGGACCCCACCCCGGAGCCAAGGCAAACAGUGGCGUUGGGCCGGUCCUGAGGCGGAUCUACGGGUGGUGGUGGCGGCCUGUGUUCGGUGGACACGGUUACCAGCAUGCCUUGACCCCUGGACAUCGUGGCGCAUGAAAGGGAGGCAUAAAGGAAGGGCAGAGCUUGGGAGAUGGAAGGGGACUGAAGGGGGCCGACUCUGGAGCCAAGUCAAACAGGGGCGUUUGGCCGGUCUGAGGCGGUUCUACGUGUGUCGGUGGCAGACUAGGGAGGUCAGCUGGGCAGUGGUUAGGGGACACGGUACCAGCAUGCCUUGACCCCUGAACAUAGUAGAGCAUUUACAUUUAAGCGUUUUUGCUGAUGCUUUGAUCCAAAAGCGACGUGCCACCGUACAUUCACACACCGAUGGCGGAGUCAAACCAUGCAGAGCGACAGCCAGCUCGUCAGGAGCAAAUCAGGGUGAGGUGUCUUGCUCAGAGACACCUCGACACUCUCGCUAGGAGGAGCCGGGGAUCGAACCAGCAACCUUCCGGUUUUCCAGCCGACCCUCUCUACCCCCUGAGCGACUUCUGCCCAUACUGCACGAAAGGAAGGGAACAGCCCAGGAGCCUCCGUGGGUAAGGGGGAGCUGGAAGGGGGCCGGCGCCCCGAUCUGGGGCCCUGGGGGGAGGGGGGGCGGGACCCCGGGGUCGUCCUGGGAUGUGUUCGGCCCGUCGGUGAACCGGGUCACAGAGCGUAGCUAAUGAGGUGCGAGGGGAGCGCUAAUCUCACGUUUACACGACCCCUCCGGCGCGCGCACACACACACACACGUAUUGAUCGGCAAGCCCAGCGCUCCCGGGACGCCCGCCCGCCCCGCCAUGACCUCAUGGUCACACACGCGCACGCGCGCACACGCACGUAGCGUACGGCACGCACACACGUAGCGUACAGCAUGUGCACCGUCUCCCACACACUUUAGCACUUAGCUGUAAUCUGUGUUUGCCUGACAGAGAGCUGGGGCGUCGCCCUCUCAGCAGGAUAAACACUUGUAAAAAAAGUGUGUGACACGAGUCACCCCCCUGAACUUAGUGCCUGAAGCAGGCGCCAACACACACUCAAAUAUACUCAGCACACGCACACACACACACACACACACACACGUCAUGCUUACAGUACUUUUAACAAUGCAUUUUUUUUUUAUCUCUUACAGAUACACAAAUAGUAAGUGUCUGUGGCACCAAUCUCUGCUCAGUGUGUGUGUGUGUGUGUGUGUGUGUGUGUGUGUGUGUGUGCGGCUGUGUGUGUGCCUGGGUACCGAAGCCAGUCUAAGUGGUGCCAAGCGUCGGGGUAGCGAGGGGCUGUGCUGGGGGAGAAGGGCCCCUCUAUCUUAACAAGCCCCCGGUCUGACAGCACUCAGCCACCCCGCCUGGCCCUCCAUGGGCCUUCCACCCUUCACUGCUCCGGCUCACUUUCCCUCUGCUUAUCAGUCUGGCUGUCUGUCUGUCCAUAUGUCCAGCUCACCCCCGCCGUCAGGGAGGGGAGGGGACAUGGGAGGGUGUCCUGCUUCCCUCAGAUCCUCUGAGUGGACGGACGGACCCGCUUGGCUGCAGUCCUUUUAAUAUAACACACAUGUGCGUCUGGAUUGUGUUGCCAGCUCUAUCAGUGCCCCUCCCCCUGCAGUAUAGAUAUAUUUUCGUGAAACUAUUUCACGAAAAUAUUAACAGUUACAGUUGAAGACAAUUUAGAGGAUCAAGCAGGUAGUAAGUAACUAUUUAAAGACAUCAGAAUUGCGUUUCUAGUAGUUGUCGUUGUAACAUCUCAACAUAGCCAAACUCAGGCCAGUGAAAGCUGUUCUUAGUUCACCCACCCUGUGUAAAGUGUGCUUACAUCGCACUCUUCAGCUGUGGAAUCUGAGGUCGGGGGGGGGUCAGUGUCUUACCAGAGGACUGUCCAACUGAUGGGGUUCAACUCCUGGCCUCCGGUCCAAAGGGUGCGUGUCCCUGCCCCCGGUCGCCCCGGUCACCCUCCUCCUUUCACGGCCCGGCCCUCCGUCGCCCUCUCGACCUCGGGUCAGGGGAAGCGAGGCUUGUAGCGGGCAGUGACCCCACAGGGCCCGCCAACCGACCCGCCUCGGCGCUGGAGGACGGGACGGGAAAGGGAACGGAGAGAGGGAGAGUGUGGCAGGGUUUCCCUGGAUGAACCCCCUUUUUAAUCUGGCCCUGACCCCGCAACUUCUCUCUCUCUCUCUCCUCCCCCUCACCCCCUGACCUCUGACCCUUGAACCCCAGAGAGCCAGGACCUUGGAGCGAGGUGUCACCGGACAUCCGCUGGCUCCUUUCAUGGGAGGGGGGGGCUGGGGCCGCUCGAGAGCCCGGGAGGGGGAGGGCGGGAUGGGUGGAUGAUGGAGGGGUGAAUGACAGACGGAUGGAUGGAGAGAUGACGGAGGGGUGAAUGAUAAAUGGACGGAUGAUGGAGGGAAGAAUAAUACAUGGGUGGAUAGAUGAUAGUGGGGUGAAUAUCAUAGAUGCGUGGAAAUGUAGAGUACAUUUGCUCACAGUGUUUAUGCAUGGAGCGGAUGUUUGGAUUGUGUAAAGAGAGAGAGGGAGGGAGAGAUGGAGUCCUGUGAAUCCGCUGGUGUUGCCAUGUCAUGGAGCCAAGAGGUUUCGGCUGUCCUCGGUUACUGAAACAUUGUGUCCCUAAACCACCGCCAAGACUCCAAGGCAACCGUGUCAUUAAAAUAAAUAUUUUUGGAGCGAACAAAUAUUUCUAAUUAGCAUUUUAUUAAUAUGUAUCUAUUGCACCUUUCAUUGCUGGGGACAAUCACAAAUUGCUUUGACAUUGCAUUUAAAGCAAUAAAUAUAUAUGCAUUUAACAUUGCAGACUAAAUUAUGAUCACAGAAAGAUUAUUAUGAUUAUUUCUGCUCGCUCUCUGUUGACUUGUUCACAGUUCAUUAAGGCACUGGGAUCCAAAGAAGGGAGAAAAAAUAUCGGUGAGGUUAGCAGUUUUCUAAUGUAAUCUGGUAGAAAAGAAUGCUGACUCUGCUGUUUGGGUUCGGAAAGGUAGAUUAUUCAUUAGUUCAUCAGCAACGGGGUGAAACUCGUAUGUAAAUUCAACACUUGAAGCCCCAAAAGUGAUCCCCAGAAAAGAAUGUGGAAACAUGAAAUCUCCAUAGAGUGGGAGAGAAACAUAUCUGCAGGGCUUUUUCCAGAAAGACCUUUAUAUGCCUCCGAGUUGAAAAAAAAAAACACAGAACUAAAUGUUAAACAUCAUACAAUGGAGACUGUCCUGAGUGGGAAACUUGUUCCCCUUCAGUUUCCUGCAUGGUCCUUGGUUGGCUCUAAAUUCCCUAAAGGUCACUGGGCGCAUGAAAGUGACCGCCAACACUAGAAUCCCCUCCGCAGUUGCUUCUUGCUACCCUUCUCAGCAGCAUGACGGUGCUUCACUGUAGCCGGCUCUGAGGUCACCGAGGUAUGGACCUCGGGCAUUUUGUAGAGAUAAAAAAACAAAGUUCGAACCUAAGCACUGUAUACAAAAUCAGCAG